GAUGAACGCUGGCGGCGUGCCUAAUACAUGCCAGUCGAGCGAACGGACGAGAAGCUUGCUUCUCUGAUGUUAGCGGCGGACGGGUGAGUAACACGUGGAUAACCUACCUAUAAGACUGGGAUAACUUCGGGAAACCGUAGCUAAUACCGGAUAAUAUUUUGAACCGCAUGGUUCAAAAGUGAAAGACGGUCUUGCUGUCACUUAUAGAUGGAUCCGCGCUGCAUUAGCUAGUUGGUAAGGUAACGGCUUACCAAGGCAACGAUGCAUAGCCGACCUGAGAGGAUGAUCGGCCACACUGGAACUGAGACACGGUCCAGACUCCUACGGGAGGCAGCAGUAGGGAAUCUUCCGCAAUGGGCGAAAGCCUGACGGAGCAACGCCGCGUGAGUGAUGAAGGUCUUCGGAUCGUAAAACUCUGUUAUUAGGGAAGAACAUAUGUGUAAGUAACUGUGCACAUCUUGACGGUACCUAAUCAGAAAGCCACGGCUAACUACGUG
rnacentral:rRNA from 1 species